GCGAGGAGCCCCGCACCUCCUCGAACACCUUCUGCAGCCAGGAGGCCCCGCUGCCGCCGCCCUCCGCCGCCGCCCGGCUCUCCUCGGCGCGCUCCGGGAGCGUAGUUCAAUGGCUUUCUCUCCCCAGCCCAUGACCUGAUUAGAUUGAAGUUACUCUUCGUGCACACUGAAGGCUUCCCUGUCACUAGAGCUGAGAGCUAGACAAUUCUUUCCCGGUAUCCCAGUCAUGAGGAAAGAGGAAGAAACCAAGCUGUUUUAAAAGCAAAGCAGCAGUGAGCAACUGAGGUUCUUAGGCUGUACAACAGGGUAUCAUUGCUGCAGGCUGUGAGGGUGUCAUUAACAUCUCAACUCACUGCAGCAGUAGCUGGGUGAGCCCCAGGGCAGCACCCAGUGAAGUCAGCAUGUGAAAAGGUAAGCCCGGACCACACAUACAGUGAAAAAGAUAAAAAUGAUACAAUACUCAGACUUCUGCUAUAUUUUGUAACUGACAGCACAUUAACCUCUUCAAACUUGGCUUUUGAAACAACAGAGGCAGAGGACACUACAGUUCUGGGGGGUGGGACAGUGAGGCAGGUGUAUAUAUAAACAGCAUGGAAGCAUUCUGUGGCUACACUGUUUAGUAUAGGUCAGACAGGUUUAGCAACAAAGACCUAAUCCACUCAUAAGUCUCCUGAUCUUUUCCACCACAUGAAAUCUGCACUCCAGGUGUCAGUAUGCUGUGUCUGUAUCAGCUGUAUCCGUGCCUUUGGAAGAUUUCAAUUUGAUAGCUUCCUUUCAGCUCCCAGUGACCACUUCAUUAAGCUCUGCUGCAACCUCUAGGUCAUUUGGGAUAGAAAACCUGCAUGACUGGACCACUACUGCUGUGUUCAGAAGAGACAAGUAUUACAAGUAUCCAAGCAGUAUUACAAUAGGAACAUAAUAAACCAGACACAUCACUGGGAACCUGUCAACUGACAAUGGCUGAUUUAAGUACAAGUAGCAUAAAAGGUCUUGUCACAGAAUCAAAAAAUUCUCAGAUUUCUUUUGUGAAACAACUUGCCAACAAAAUGGCUUGAUUAUACCAUUUGCAGGGUUGUCCAGUUAUAAGGAUUUAACUAUACAUGGAGAUUAAUUUGGAGGAUAGCAGGCUGUGAAUUCAGAGGUCAGUACCAAGUCUUGGUAAUCUUCCCAUAUGGGAGCACUUUACAGGUGUCUGAUGUGAGAUGAAUUGAGAGAGAAUACUCAAAGUUGUCUUCUUUUGGAACAAUAGCUCCUAUACUACAGGAAACUUGGGAAUAGUUACUGUGAGUCCACUUUUCACCUCAACAGGCUUUAGAUAAAAAUGUCCUGUGCUUCUAGCUGGCAACAUACACAGGUGCUUAUAUUACAGAUUGUACAGGUUUUUAGCAACUCUAGACUUAACAGCCACUCUGAUCCUUUGCACAGUAGCUAAGCAGAAAAGGCAUAUACUGACUCCAAAUGAUGUGCCAGUAGCUGCUUAACCUACUGGAACAAAGUUAUUCAGAGUUCCCUGAAGCUCCCCUGCUUCACCCAGAUUACCAUGUGUAUUAAAAAACCUACAACUGUGCAUGAACUGUGGCUCUUGCUACACCAUUUACCCCAGCAGUACUCCCUGGACAUCAAAGAAUACAUGCCACAAAGCCAGUUUCUUAUAAUCGUGAAAGCAUUAGCAAUGCUCUAAACUUGUACAAGACUUGGUAUUUCCUGUUUACCCUGUGUAUUGAGUAGAGCCAGGGAGUGACUGUUUCAAGGGUAAAUGGUUGAGGGAGAUAGGAAAGGUUAAAGAAAUCACUGAGCCAUAUUGAAUCCAUUAACUCCUAUGAAGUGUCACUGACAUGAGCUAAUGAUCUCACACCAGUAGCAUAUUCACUGUCUGAAUGAGACAAGUGCACUUGGUACCACAGAAGCCAGGUACUGUUACAAUCUCACUUCCCUUCUUAAUCUUUUUUAAAAUGUUUCUCUUUUAAAAAAAUCCCUCUUCUAAUCUCAUGUACUGAAUUUGGCUCACUGCCCUGUAAGCAGUUAUUCCCAACUGACCUCUGCAUGAGAGCAGAAUCAGGCCAGCUUUUAGCAAAAUAUCAUAAAGUUGGGCUUUUCUGAUUAGUGUUACAAAAAUAGGGCAGGAAAGGACCUUAAUGCACCUUCUCUUCUAUCCAUAUCCCUAUGCUGCAUCAGUAUCACUGGUGACAAUUGUUUGUUUAACCUGACCUUAAAGACCUCCAGUGAUGGAGACUCCAAAAAUUCCCCAGGCAACUGAUUCCAGAUAUACCAAGAAGUUUAAAAUGAAGAAACAGAACAUGAUUUAAAGAGUCUGACCCACUUUUGUGUAUCUGAGUCACGAUAUCAAACUCCAUUCCAGGGUGGAAGAAAGUGUACACUGCUUUACUGAAUUCCUUUUUGGAGACAAUCGGUAUGUGCACAGGUGAGAUUCAAUGCAAAAAAGCCACUGAAUUUUGCUUUCUAUACGGGUUUGUGAAAAUUGCUUCAGGCAAGUGUGGAGCUGGGCAAAACACACUCAGGAGAAUAUCUAGUGACGACUUUGGUGACAGUAAAAGGUACCAUCCACUGCCGAGUACACUGCUGUAGAACCCUUCUUUGGCCCUUCAGUCAAACUCACUACACUCUAUGAAACCACAAUAUAUUCAAGCUUUUUUCAAUAUAUACUAUAUUCAAUAUAUAUAAAGCUUUUAUUGGUUUCCCAGUCUUUGGGGAAAACAUGUUUGUUCAUUUUAGACAAAUGGAGGGGACACAUACAUGUUGAGGACUGGGAAUGAAAAAAGCCCACAGAGAUACCAAGUGUCCUGUGAUGCAGCAAAGCUUGUUCCCACAAAAACCCAGCUGAGAGCUCUCCAGUGAUGCUGCUGAUUACUGAUUAGGGACUGAUAGCUAUUUUACAUGCUGUCUCUAGCCCAUGCUUUAAUACUUACUGACCAUAAAGUUGAGCAGUUUUGGGUAGGAAAACUGAGGAAGAUAACUUCUCUUGUGCAAUUCUGUUAAAUAGUUUUACUGCUAUAAUUUAUGUUACCUGGAUACGGAAGAGGGUGUUUUUCUUCUUCCAGUCACAGCUGUGGAGAACUUUUAUUAAACAAGAGAGGCUAGAGAGUCAAAAUAAAGAAGGAAAAAAAGCUAAGGCUGAAUAAAGUUAGAAACAGACAAAUUAAGAAAUUGGCCCUGGAAGGCCGGUGUUUUCCUGCUGUACAUUUUGGUUAGAGUGCACUGGGAAGAGGGCUAACAUACAGUACAAGUGAUACCCCAACCCAGAAACGCACCUGGGGUGGCCAUUUGCUUGUUUGAAUGCCUUUUGCUGUUCCCUUGGGGAAGAGUGUGCAGGAGACCUGACCAACAUCAGUCACUCAGAUAUGAGUGGGCGUGUUCUGUGCACGAGCUGGACAGCAACUCUCUCAAGAACUGGUGAGUGUGGUGGUAGAACACUGAGGCAAUAAUUCUACCGCCUGUUGGUAACACUGUCUGCUUCUCUCCAUAAUAUCCAUUUUGCUUCUAAUAUGUACAGGGAAAAUGAAAUAAGGGCUUUUACUGCUUCUGCACUCUGGGAAUAUCCAGAUUUGUGUCAAACCUCUGAGAUUACAUACUGUAAAUAAUUCAUUACUCACACAAAAGGGCAAAAGUGCUCCCCAAUCUUAUUAACUUGAUGUUUCUUAAAGCCUUUUUUAAUCCUGUUUUAUAGAAAGAAAAUAUUACAUCUAUAUUUAUAUUUAGCCCUACAUAUGUGAAGUAUCUUUCAGCUUAAACAUAGAAUACUUCUACAAUUUUAAUUUCCCAUGGGAUUUGAGCUUCCUCUCUCCAAUUUCUUAUUAACAGAUCGGUCACAGAGGUCCCAACUUUAAGACUAUGAAAAUUAAGAAAUGAGCAAAGGAUGACUAGAGAGCACACUGAGGUUAACACAAGACCCUUCUAUCUCUGCAACAUAGAGUGAAAAUUUUGAGGUAAGCUCAUACAGACUUCAGGAGAUCCGAAAUGGGUCUGGAAAUGUCCCCCAGGAAAACAGUUUCUUUUAAGAAACUUAAAUUUCCACCAAGCUGGGCCAUGCAAAUAACAGUUAAUUCACACUUCUGUCAUAAUAGUUAAUGUUUCUGUCUGGAGCCAAGAAUAUCAAAGGAUUAAGAAAAUUAAUAGGAGUUAGUGGGGAAAAUUAUUAAAAUAACAGUUAACAGAGGUUCUUGUUUAAAGUUUGAGUUGUGUGUUGAGUUAUAGGUUGGGUUAGUUUUUAGUGGAAAUAUGAUUCCAAUCAGAAAUCAAAUCUGUUUUGUACCACAUCACAAAGACUGACAGUUUCUGUUCCAAUGAAAUCCAUUUCUGAGAUACCAGAAGUGCUGCAGUAGCAGCAGAAACUCAAGUGUUCUCAAGGUAAUGCACUGGAAACUGUUCAAAUGAAAACUAAGAGGGGCUGUUUGGAGACUGCCCUUCAACUGUGGAAUCUGCCGAAGUAUAAACAAUGAGAGAGACAGAGGGAUGGAGACUGACACCACUCCUUCCAGAGAACAUCCACAAUCAAACCUGGCAUUUACUCAUGGGUGUUAUUCUAUUGAUUUUAAUGGGCUUUUCCUAAAACUACUCAGCUAGAAAUGAAAGGAGAAAGGUGUACAUCCUUGAUUUUCACUGUGGCAUCCAGUUUCUUCAAAGCUAACACCAUGCUUCUGUACAGUCUAAGUGUCUUGGGCUUGUUUUGUUUAUUGGCAUGUUUGUUUUAAGAUGCAAAACAACAGGAGUGAGACAGAAAUUAAAAGUAACAACUAAUAAAAACAAAAAUCUGCCUGUGUUGUUCUUGGUUUU